GACGAACGCUGGCGGCAUGCCUAAUACAUGCAAGUCGAACGAACAAAAUUGGGGCUUGCUCCAAUUUUAGUGAGUGGCAAACGGGUGAGUAACACGUGGGAAUCUACCUAUCAGUACGGAAUAACAUUUGGAAACAGAUGCUAAUACCGUAUAUUCUCCAAGGAGGAAAGAUUUAUCGCUGAUAGAUGAGCCCGCGUAAGAUUAGGUAGUUGGUAGGGUAAUGGCCUACCAAGCCGACGAUCUUUAGCUGGUCUGAGAGGAUGAUCAGACACACUGGGACUGAGACACGGCCCAGACUCCUACGGGAGGCAGCAGUGGGGAAUAUUGGACAAUGGGCGAAAGCCUGAUCCAGCAAUACCGCGUGAAUGAUGAAGGCCUUAGGGUUGUAAAGUUCUUUUAGUUGGAAAGAUAAUGACGGUACCAACAGAAAAAGCCCCGGCUAACUCCGUGCCAGCAGCCGCCGUAA
rnacentral:rRNA from 1 species